UUCAAAUCGAGGAUUGAGACGAGUAGGCAAGCACAUCUAUGUAGAGAGUCAGCGGCUGGUGGAAGCUGAUUGGGUGACUUGCGCGAAUGGACUUAGGAGAGCUGGCCUGAAAGCGGAAGCGAGUAAGGGAGACGUAGGCCCUGCGUUAAAGGGAAAGGCGUAAGAGCCUGUUUUAAGUGAGUGCAGAAUUGCAUUAAUGCGUGGUGGUACCGCGGUUAACCCCCGUCCCCGCA
rnacentral:ncRNA from 2 species